AGGAGAAGCACUCUUCGGAGUGUGGACACUGGCGCACGGGUGAGUAACGCGUGGGAAUCUACCCCGGGGUGGGGGACAACCGCUGGAAACGGCGGCUAAUACCGCAUACGCCUUGAGAGGGAAAGCUUUAGCGCCCUGGGAUGAGCCCGCGUUAGAUUAGGUUGUUGGUGGGGUAAUGGCCUACCAAGCCUACGAUCUAUAGCUGGUCUGAGAGGAUGAUCAGCCACACUGGGACUGAGACACGGCCCAGACUCCUACGGGAGGCAGCAGUGGGGAAUAUUGGACAAUGGGGGCAACCCUGAUCCAGCCAUGCCGCGUGCGUGAAGAAGGCCUUAGGGUUGUAAAGCGCUUUCACUGGUGAAGAUGAUGACUGUAGCCAGAGAAGAAGCCCCGGCUAACUCCGUGCCAGCAGCCGCGGUAAUACGGAGGGGGCAAGCGUUGUUCGGAAUUACUGGGCGUAAAGGGCGCGUAGGCGGAAUAUCAAGUUAGGGGUGAAAGGCCUGGGCUCAACCUAGGAACUGCCUCUAAAACUGGUAGUCUAGAGUUCGGGAGAGGAUAGCGGAAUUCCUAGUGUAGAGGUGAAAUUCGUAGAUAUUAGGAAGAAC
rnacentral:rRNA from 1 species